UUGCAAGAAUACACUGAGCACACAGGCCAAAUUCAUCAUCUGGUAGUGACAUGCUAGGCCCUGGCUGUGAAAUGCUGUCGCCCAAGUAUCAGCACUGCACAUGCCUGCUGUGCGCAUCAGAUCCCUUGGUAUGUGACUUGAAUAUCUCCCUCCCUGCUUGUCUCCCUUCUCAGAAAUGCUAAGCAGAGUACCUAAAAUCAGCAAGAACGACGAACAUUCAGCAAAUCUGAAAACAAUGCCACAGCACUGCAUUUCUGCUGAAGGUGACCCCAUGUCUCCCCAGACAGGAGCGUUACUCUUUGGAGGUCACGCUCUAAUACCUGCCUGGCUCCUGUAAAACAUCACACUCUGAACUGCCCAAUGGAUGUUUUGACCAAGGAGUUCUACUCAUAACACGCCAAACAAGCUUUGGAAAUGUGCACAGACUGACUGCCUUGAUGAGGAGAAGCUGAGAUUGCGUCAAAUUCUUUGUGUUUUAAAGGUCAACACAUCCACUUCUCCAACAAGCUUUCUUACGGUUGUAAUUACAGCCCUUUUUCCCAAUGCAAUCAAACAAAUAUGUCUUGAAAAAGCAUGAAGUGGUAGAAGAUAUCCCAUAGACUUAGCACUGCAAAACUGAACUUCCUCCAUUCAGAUGAAGAAAUCAACUUUUGUCUCUAGGAAUCAAAUGAUCUUGCUGUUUCUCUGCUCUCCAGUUAUCUACGACCUACUGAGCCAAGAUCUCACAGAAGGUGUUCCCACAGAUUUUAAAACAGAGUUGAUGCUUGAGGGAGUUUUAUGUUUGAAGAAGAAAAGAACAGCGAUCGCCAUCAGACAACUCAGAAAAGCAACUCAGAGAACCAGAAGUGGAAAGGUGAGGCAAAUGGCGGAAGGUGUGACACAAAGCCAAGUGAAAUACAGUGACUGAGCACAAAGGUGGGAGGGGAAAAAAGAAAGGUGGGAGCUGUCUACCAAGCCAAUAUGAAAAGGUUGAAAUGUUGAAUAAUCAGAAAGGAAAAAAAGGGAGAGCUUUUGUGAUAGGAAAAAGAAAGGGCAGAAGAGAAACAAGCACAGUGACAACACAGACUCAUGUACGCAGGGGGCAAAAAGAUGUUUCCAGUGAUAGACCAUAUGGGCAAAGAUAGAAACACAACCGCAGAUGCAUUUCAAAGGCAACAUGUAGAAACCAAGCAAAAACUACAAGAGAAGAAACGGAUGGGGUGAACUGCUUAAAAUCUCAACAAAACAAAAUAAACAUUUUUUGGGGGAAAAAAAAAUAUAUAAAUAAGUAAAUAACCUUUUCCAGCAUAAUGAAAGCAUUCAUUUUCUAAAACGGCCACUUUUGAAUACAAUUUUCCCCAUUCAGCCAAUGUCAACCAGCUCUAGUUAUGCUUCAGGCCCCUAGGGCAGAUCGUAAUCUAUGUGUGUUUGAAACGAGAACAUCUUUGUUCAGACCUUAGGCCAACAGCAAACAAGGGAUCUAUCAGUGGAGGCAGGAAGAGAACAGUGAGCGGACAUCUGAGCACGUUUUGAAUGUCAGAUCACACCCAAGUAAUCAAAUACAACGGGGCCAAACAGCCGCUUCUAAUAUAGUUCUAUAUAAUUCUAUAUAAUUCAGUUCUUCAUAACAACUUCAAAUAAUGCAAUACUUUUCCUUCCAUUUCAGCUGCUACAGCAGCUUCUGCUGUGGUAAGGUGAGAAUUGUCUGUGAUAUACAGCUACAGUGUAUGGUCCAUGGAGCCCUUCAAAGAUUUAUCAGUCUUUCUCAAGCUGAUCUCUAGCUGAUCAGCCAACGUACUGCAUGAGAAUGGUAUAAGCAGUUCAGAUCUAGAGUGGAAGUCCAUAGCUUCAGUCCCCAUUUGAUAACCAGCUCACAGAAAGCCUCACCCAGGUGGGACUGCCAUCAGCAUCUCCGCGCUCACUAUUCCUCCUCUGUACACUGCUCAGAACAGCAGUUUCAACAAACCAGCAUUUCCUUCCAAGAACCUGCAGCUGACAAUGCAGCACAGAAUUCCCUUUGUGCAUUAAAGCACUCACUCAGGAGAUUGGCUGGAAAGCUUGAGAACGCUGUACCAUUUCAAAGCUUUGUGUCCAGGCCCUUU